ACUCCUACGGGAGGCAGCAGUAGGGAAUAUUGCUCAAUGGGGGAAACCCUGAAGCAGCAACGCCGCGUGGAGGAUGACACUUUUCGGAGCGUAAACUCCUUUUCUUGGGAAAGAAUUAUGACGGUACCCAAGGAAUAAGCACCGGCUAACUCCGUGCCAGCAGCCGCGGUAAUACGGAGGGUGCAAGCGUUACUCGGAAUCACUGGGCGUAAAGGACGCGUAGGCGGAUUAUCAAGUCUCUUGUGAAAUCUAACGGCUUAACCGUUAAACUGCUUGGGAAACUGAUAAUCUAGAGUAAGGGAGAGGCAGAUGGAAUUCUUGGUGUAGGGGUAAAAUCCGUAGAGAUCAAGAAGAAUACCCAUUGCGAAAGCGAUCUGCUGGAACUUAACUGACGCUAAUGCGUGAAAGCGUGGGGAGCAAACAGGAUUAGAUACCCUUGUAGUCC
rnacentral:rRNA from 1 species